GCACGAUAGAGUUUAACAAGAUUACCCGGACCUUUCGGUCAAGGAAGUACUCGCUGACUCUAUCAGUGUAGCGCGCGUGCGGCCCAGAACAUCUAAGGGCAUCACAGACCUGUUAUUGCCUCAAACUUCCAUCGGCUUGAGCCGAUAGUCCCUCUAAGAAGCCAGCGUACUGCCAAAGCAAUACGGGCUAUUUAGCAGGUUAAGGUCUCGUUCGUUAUCGCAAUUAAGCAGACAAAUCACUCCACCAACUAAGAACGGCCAUGCACCACCACCCACAAAAUCAAGAAAGAGCUCUCAAUCUGUCAAUCCUCAUUGUGUCUGGACCUGGUGAGUUUCCCGUGUUGAGUCAAAUUAAGCCGCAGGCUCCACCCCUGGUGGGCCCUUCCGUCAAUUUCUCUAAGUUUCAGCCUUGCGACCAUACUCCCCCUGGAGCCCA
rnacentral:rRNA from 1 species